GCGGACUAACCACAGGUAAUGGAUGCGGCUAAGUCCUUAAUUUCCCUCCCAGCAUUAUACCCUCUGCACUUGCAGUGAUUACUUUUGGACUUUUCUAUUUUGAUUUAUAGAUACAUAGUUUUUGGGUAGUUUGGGAGGGAAAUUAAGGACUUAGCCGCAUCCAUUACCUGUGGUUAGUCCG